GGCUGAGUGGUGAAAAAUUAUCAUGCGUGUCUGCAAAACAUGAGUUGCGUUUAGGUUCGCCUUGGCCU
rnacentral:tRNA from 1 species